rnacentral:misc_RNA from 1 species
UACAGAGGCCCCGAGCGUUAUCCGGAAUCACUGGGCGUAAAGGGUGCGUAGGCGGCAAUGUUAGUCGUGUUUCAAAUAUCCCCGCUUAACGGGGAAAAGGGGCGCGAAACGGCAUUGCUUGAGUGUGCGAGAGAUGUGCGGAACUCAUAGUGUAGGGGUGAAAUCCGUUGAUAUUAUGGGGAACACCAAAUGCGAAGGCAGCACAUUGGCGCAUAACUGACGCUCAUGCACGAAAGCGUGGGUAGCGAAUGGG